UGGGGAAUUUUGGACAAUGGGCGCAAGCCUGAUCCAGCCAUGCCGCGUGCAGGAUGAAGGCCUUCGGGUUGUAAACUGCUUUUGUACGGAACGAAAAGGUGCCUUCUAAUAAAGGGCGCUCAUGACGGUACCGUAAGAAUAAGCACCGGCUAACUACGUGCCAGCAGCCGCGGUAAUACGUAGGGUGCGAGCGUUAAUCGGAAUUACUGGGCGUAAAGCGUGCGCAGGCGGUUUUGUAAGACAGAGGUGAAAUCCCCGGGCUCAACCUGGGAACUGCCUUUGUGACUGCAAGGCUGGAGUGCAGCAGAGGGGGAUGGAAUUCCGCGUGUAGCAGUGAAAUGCGUAGAUAUGCGGAGGAACACCGAUGGCGAAGGCAAUCCCCUGGGCCUGCACUGACGCUCAUGCACGAAAGCGUGGG
rnacentral:rRNA from 1 species